rnacentral:lncRNA from 1 species
GACCGAGACACGGACGGAAGGGUCGACCACCAACUCCGACGAGUCCCUUCCUGCGUCCCCACAGCUGCCUGAAAUCCUGCCUGCUACUCUGGGCCCAGCUGCUUCUGGUUUCUGGGAGCUUGGGUGGUCCCUCAAGACCUUGUCCUACUUUGGGUGGAACCAGCAAUGCUUCGGUGUCCUCUGUGUAGCUGGAUGCCGAGGGACAGGAGGGCUCUCAGCAUAGCUGGUCAGCUCUGGACUGAGCGUCUGGACUCUCUCUGGGACCCUGGCUUCCAGCCACCUCAUCCCCAGCCUCCUCCCUGACCUCUUGGCCCCCAGCCCCACUCCACGCUGCCCUGGGAGGUAUUUGGAGCUGGCCCCACCCCCACCCCAGGACCAGGUCCCAGCCCUUAGCUGGGACCCUCACCUGUGGGCCCUGAAGGUUGGCCCGUGCCCACCCUUCAGUCCUCGUGUCAUAGGGCUUCUCGGCCUGCGUUGUGUUCCAGUCCCCUCUCAAUGCACCCUGUGGAACAAACAUGCUUCUUUGUCCAUGUGUAUGUACCCUUCCCUCUGAAAUUGCCCCCGCAUGUCACCUGCCACAGUCCUCUUCCUCCUUUCAUAGUCAGGUAUCAUUCCUGAGAGACAUAGUCCUGGCAUCGAGUUUACCGGCUUCCCAAGGGACCCCUUCAGUCACGAGGAGAGAAAACACAAACCUGAGCUUAAAAAUUAAAAUACAGAGACACACACAUACACACUAUUACCCCACGAAAGAAGUCCCAGGGUAGGAAGGCCUCAGGGUUGUCAGGGAACCAGGUUCUCCCAUCCCCCAUUGGGGAACUCCCCCAUGGCCCCAAAGUAGCUGCAGCUGCUCUGAUGUCACAUAUAUCUGUACCAACAUCUGGCAGGUGAAGGGGCCACACCCUUCCUGUCCUGAGCAUUGUAAGUGGGAGAGAAAUCUGUCCCUAAAGCUCCUGCUCCGGGCACCUCUCUCCUUAUGUCCCAUUGGCCCUGAGGCACAAGUAAUGGCCACGAGUCCACCAAGAUGGCAUCUACAAGUGGUGAUUCUCCUCACCUGGAAUGAGGACAGUAUCCUGGAACCAAAUUGGGAAGAGAAUAUUUGUUUAGAUUAAAUUCUGUUUUUUGUUUUGUUUGGGUGUUGGAGAUGGCACUCAAUAGUCUCAAACAUGCUAGGCAAAGGCUAUACCACCCAGCUACAUCUGCAGCCCUAAAAUUCUAUUUAAAUAAAAGUCUAGUAGGAGCACCUGAUUUUAUUGUAGUUCCAUGCAUUUUAUUUUAGUUUAAAACAGGCAAGAGCCAGUUUCUUUUUUUCUUUUUUUUUGAUAGUGGGGAUUGAACUCAGGGGCCUUAACCCUU